rnacentral:lncRNA from 1 species
AUGGAUGGUACAAGAACUUCACUUGAUAUUGAAUAGUACCCAGAUACUGAGGUGCAAAAAAAACAAGUACUAACUCUGCAAGAAUGGCAAGACAAGUGGGUGAACUGAAAUAUUGGUUUUCGUCAAAAACAAGGACAUCAGCUAUUAAAGCAGCAUUUAGAUACUUUUCUUAAAGGCAAGAGUGGAGUGAGGGUAUUUUUUCCUCUGUGUGGAAAAGCAGUUGAGAUGAAAUAUUUUGCAGACUGGGGACACAGUGUACUUGAUGUGGAAAUUACCAAGUACGGGAUAUGAGAUUUUUUUACAGAGCAGAAUCUUUCUUACUCAGAAGAGCCAAUCACCAAAAUUCCUGGAGCCAAAGUGUUUAAGAGUUCUUUGGGGAACAUUUCAUUGUACUGUUGCUGUAUUUUUUAUCCUCCUAGAGCAAAUAUUGGCAAAUUUGACAGGAUUUAGGAUGGAAGAGCAUUAGUUGCCAUUAAUCCAGCUGAUCACAAAUGCUAUGCAGUUAUAAUGUCGUCCAACCUGGGUAAAGGGUUUCAGUACCUCAUGUGUGUUCUUUCUUAUGAUCCAACUAAACAUGCAGGCCCACCAUUUUGUGUUCUACUUGCUGAAAUUGAAAGGCUGUUCAGUACAGUAUGUAAUAUUCGUUGUCUUGAGAAGGUUGGUGCUUUUGAGGAAUAACAUAAAAGUUUGGGAAUUGACCACAUUUUUAAAAGAUUGUAUCUAUUUACAGAAAAG